rnacentral:rRNA from 1 species
GGCAAACUGAAUCGGUGGAUUAUAACUUUGAGCGGU